rnacentral:rRNA from 1 species
GUCAAGUGAAUAAGAGCACGUGGUGGAUGCCUUGGCAAUGAUAGGCGACGAAGGACGUGAUAGCCUGCGAUAAGCUUCGGGGAGCUGGCAAAUUAGCUUUGAUCCGGAGAUUUCCGAAUGGGGAAACCCACCGAAAGGUAUCGUUAUCUGAAUACAUAGGGUAACGAGGCGAACCGGGUGAACUGAAACAUCUCAGUAGCUCGAGGAAAAGACAUCAACCGAGAUUCCGAAAGUAGUGGCGAGCGAAAUCGGAGAAGCCUGUUAGUGAUAGCACAAGACAUAACGGAACAGCUUGGAAAGGCUGGCCAUAGCGGGUGAUAGCCCCGUACGUGAAAUGACCUGUGUGGUACUGAGCUAACGACAAGUAGGGCGGGACACGAGAAAUCCUGUCUGAAUAUGGGGGGACCAUCCUCCAAGGCUAAAUACUCAUCAUUGACCGAUAGUGAACUAGUACCGUGAGGGAAAGGCGAAAAGAACCCCGGGAGGGGAGUGAAAUAGAUCCUGAAACCGCAUGCAUACAAACAGUCGGAGCCUGGAAACGGGUGACGGCGUACCUUUUGUAUAAUGGGUCAGCGACUUACAUUCAGUGGCAAGCUUAACCGAUUAGGGAAGGCGUAGCGAAAGCGAGUCCGAAUAGGGCGUUCAGUCGCUGGGUGUAGACCCGAAACCAAGUGAUCUAUCCAUGGCCAGGAUGAAGGUGCCGUAACAGGUACUGGAGGUCCGAACCGACUAGUGUUGCAAAACUAGCGGAUGAGCUGUGGAUAGGGGUGAA